rnacentral:rRNA from 1 species
AUUGAACGCUGGCGGCAGGCUUAACACAUGCAAGUCGAGCGGGGUGAUGGUGCUUGCACUAUCACUUAGCGGCGGACGGGUGAGUAAUGCUUAGGAAUCUGCCUAUUAGUGGGGGACAACAUCUCGAAAGGGAUGCUAAUACCGCAUACGUCCUACGGGAGAAAGCAGGGGAUCACUCGUGACCUUGCGCUAAUAGAUGAGCCUAAGUCGGAUUAGCUAGUUGGUGGGGUAAAGGCCUACCAAGGCGACGAUCUGUAGCGGGUCUGAGAGGAUGAUCCGCCACACUGGGACUGAGACACGGCCCAGACUCCUACGGGAGGCAGCAGUGGGGAAUAUUGGACAAUGGGGGGAACCCUGAUCCAGCCAUGCCGCGUGUGUGAAGAAGGCCUUAUGGUUGUAAAGCACUUUAAGCGAGGAGGAGGCUCUUUUGGUUAAUACCCAAGAUGAGUGGACGUUACUCGCAGAAUAAGCACCGGCUAACUCUGUGCCAGCCGCCGCAGUAA